rnacentral:rRNA from 1 species
UGGGGAAUCUUGCACAAUGGGGGCAACCCUGAUGCAGCGACGCCGCGUGAGCGAUGAAGCCCUUCGGGGUGUAAAGCUCUUUCGGCAGGGAAGAUUAUGACGGUACCUGCAGAAGCAGCUGCGGCUAACUACGUGCCAGCAGCCGCGGUAAUACGUAGGCAGCAAGCGUUGUUCGGAGUUACUGGGCGUAAAGGGUGUGUAGGCGGCCCUCUAAGUUUGGUGUGAAAUCUCCCGGCUCAACCGGGAGGGUGCGCCGAAGACUGGGGGGCUAGAGUGCGGGAUGGGAGAGUGGAAUUCCUGGUGUAGCGGUGAAAUGCGUAGAUAUCAGGAGGAACACCUGUGGUGUAGACGGCUCUCUGGACCGCAACUGACGCUGAGACACGAAAGCGUGGGUAGCAAACAGGAUUAGAUACCCCCGUAGUCC